rnacentral:tRNA from 5 species
GCCCGCGUAGCUCAGGGGAUAGAGCGUCUGCCUCCGGAGCAGAAGGUCGUAGGUUCGAUUCCUAUCGCGGGCA